rnacentral:rRNA from 1 species
CCUACGGGAGGCAGCAGUGGGGGAUAUUGCUCAAUGGGGGGAACCCUGAUGCAGCGACGCCGCGUGGGGGAUGGAGCGUUUCGGCGUGUAAAGCCCUAUUGGUAGGGAAGAAAAUGACGGUACCUGACGAAGAAGCCCCGGCUAACUACGUGCCAGCAGCCGCGGUAAUACGUAGGGUGCAAGCGUUAUCCGGAUUCACUGGGCGUAAAGGGGGCGUAGGCGGGAUAGCAAGCCAGGGGUGAAAACCUGGGGCACAACCAUAGGACUGCUUUUGAAACUGCAUGGCUAGAGUAUGGGAGAGGCAGGCGGAAUUCCUGGUGUAGCGGUGAAAUGCGUAGAUAUUAGGAGGAACACCGAUGGCGAAGGCGACCUGCUGGACUGUAACUGACGUUGAGGCCCGAAGGCGUGGGGAGCAAACAGGAUUAGAUACCCGAGUAGUC